rnacentral:rRNA from 1 species
UACGGGGGGAGCAAGCGUUGUUCGGAUUUACUGGGCGUAAAGGGCGCGUAGGCGGCCACCGCAAGUCAGUUGUGAAAGCUCUGGGCUUAACCCAGAAAGGUCAACUGAUACUGCGGGGCUAGAGUGCAGAAGGGGCAACUGGAAUUCUCGGUGUAGCGGUGAAAUGCGUAGAUAUCGAGAGGAACACCUGCGGCGAAGGCGGGUUGAUGGGCUGACACUGACGCUGAAGUGCGAAAGCUAGGGGAGCGAACGGG